rnacentral:lncRNA from 1 species
GCAUCCGCUGCUCUGUUAAGUGAUCACCACAUUCAUUGUUCUCGUUUCUAUUAUUUCUGAAAAAAAUCUUCAGGAUUCUGCUUGUGGGAGUGGAUGACAUUUUUACAGUGUUUACAGACACAAAAUGAACAAGAUGUCUGUGGCAACCCUCAGACCAUUGACGCCUUCUCUCCUAUGUAUCAAAUCACACAUUUGGACGUUGACUGAACCCUCACAUGUCAGAUGCUCAAUAUUGAGGUAUAGUAAAAGGGAGCAUGAACUUGAGAAAAUACGCUUUCAACACAAAGCUGUAAUAAUAUAAGGUCAAAUAAGAUUCUGCAUUGGAGAUAGAAAACUCUGAAGGAAGCUUUAUCUAUUCCAGAAUGUCAUAUAGCUGGUAUAAGAAAGAACACUAAUCAUUCCUAAGGAAGAAAAUUAACAACGCCGUGAGUUAUAAUAUCUGGCUGAAACUGAAGGAGCUCUGUGUAAUUAAAAGUCCUUUCUGCCCUGCCUGGCCAUGGUUCUGUAUGCAUUGAUGUCUUACAAACUGAAAAAAAAAAAAGUUAUUUUCUCAUCUCCAUUCCCUAGCAUAGAC